rnacentral:rRNA from 1 species
UACGAGGGGGGCGAGCGUUGUUCGGAAUCACUGGGCGUAAAGGGUGCGUAGGCGGGUCUUUAAGUCAGGGGUGAAAUCCUGGAGCUCAACUCCAGAACUGCCUUUGAUACUGAAGAUCUUGAGUUCGGGAGAGGUGAGUGGAACUGCGAGUGUAGAGGUGAAAUUCGUAGAUAUUCGCAAGAACACCAGUGGCGAAGGCGGCUCACUGGCCCGAUACUGACGCUGAGGAGCGAAAGCGUGGGGAGCAAACAGG